UACGGGGGGGGCAAGCGUUGUUCGGAAUUACUGGGCGUAAAGGGCUCGUAGGCGGCCAGCGCAAGUCAGUUGUGAAAUCUCCGGGCUUAACUCGGAACGGUCAACUGAUACUGCUCGGCUAGAGUGCGGAAGGGGCAACUGGAAUUCUUGGUGUAGCGGUGAAAUGCGUAGAUAUCAAGAGGAACACCUGCGGCGAAGGCGGGUUGCUGGGCCGACACUGACGCUGAUGCGCGAAAGCUAGGGGAGCGAACGGG
rnacentral:rRNA from 1 species